rnacentral:rRNA from 1 species
GUGGGGAAUAUUGGACAAUGGGCGAAAGCCUGAUCCAGCAAUGCCGCGUGAGUGAUGAAGGCCUUAGGGUUGUAAAGCUCUUUUACCCGGGAUGAUAAUGACAGUACCGGGAGAAUAAGCUCCGGCUAACUCCGUGCCAGCAGCCGCGGUAAUACGGAGGGAGCUAGCGUUGUUCGGAAUUACUGGGCGUAAAGCGCACGUAGGCGGCUUUGUAAGUUAGAGGUGAAAGCCUGGAGCUUAACUCCAGAACUGCCUUUAAGACUGCAUCGCUUGAAUCCAGGAGAGGUGAGUGGAAUUCCGAGUGUAGAGGUGAAAUUCGUAGAUAUUCGGAAGAACACCAGUGGCGAAGGCGGCUCACUGGACUGGUAUUGACGCUGAGGUGCGAAAGCGUGGGGAGCAAACAGGAUUAGAAACCCGAGUAGUCC